AAUUUAUGCAGAUCUUGGCUACAUGCCAUGACUGUUGCUAAUAUGCAACUCUGUUCAAUACAAAUUGGAAUUGCACUUUAGCAAUGGUGAUGGAGGGUGUCCAUCUACACCAGAACUCUA
rnacentral:pre_miRNA from 12 species